GAUGAACGCUGGCGGCGUGCCUAAUACAUGCAAGUCGAACGCGCAGCGAAAGGUACUUGCACCUUUCAAGCGAGUGGCGAACGGGUGAGUAACACGUGGAUAACCUGCCUCAAGGCUGGGGAUAACAUUUGGAAACAGAUGCUAAUACCGAAUAAAACUUAGUAUCGCAUGAUACAAAGUUAAAAGGCGCUACGGCGUCACCUAGAGAUGGAUCCGCGGUGCAUUAGUUAGUUGGUGGGGUAAAGGCUUACCAAGACGAUGACGCAUAGCCGAGUUGAGAGACUGAUCGGCCACAUUGGGACUGAGACACGGCCCAAACUCCUACGGGAGGCUGCAGGAGGGAAUCUUCCACAAUGGGCGCAAGCCUGAUGGAGAAACGCCGUGUGUGUGAUGAAGGCUUUCGGGUCGUAAAGCACUGUUGUAUGGGAAGAAAUGCUAAAAUAGGGAAUGAUUUUAGUUUGACGGUACCAUACCAGAAAGGGACGGCUAAAUACGUGCCAGCCGCCGCGGUAA
rnacentral:rRNA from 1 species